rnacentral:tRNA from 1 species
GCCGUGGCUCAGUGGUAGAACAUCUGCUUUGUAUGCAGAAAGUCGUGGGUUCAAGCCCGGCAUCUCCA